GACGAACGCUGGCGGCGUGCCUAAUACAUGCAAGUCGAACGCAGUUGGGACGUGUGAGUAACACGUGGGUAACCUCCCAUCAGAGGGGAUAACACUUGGCAACAGGUGCUAAACCGAUACUGAUGGAUGGACCCGCGGUGCAUUGGCUAGUUGGUGAAGUAACGGCUCACCAAGGCCACGAUGCAUCGCGGACCGGAGAGGGUGAUCGGCCAAACUGGGACUGAGACACGGCCCAGACUCGUACGGGAGGCAGCAGUAGGGAAUCUUCGGCAAUGGACGAAAGUCUGACCGAGAAACGCCGCGUGAGUUAAGAAGGUUUUCGGAUCGUAAAACUCUGUGGUUAGAGAAGCGGUAUCUAACAAGAAAGCCACGGCUAACUACGUGCCAGCAGCCGCGGUAAUAC
rnacentral:rRNA from 1 species